rnacentral:rRNA from 1 species
UACGUAGGGGGCAAGCGUUGUCCGGAUUUAUUGGGCGUAAAGAGCGUGUAGGCGGCCAUACAGGUCAGCUGUGAAAACUCGAGGCUCAACCUCGAGACGUCGGCUGAAACCGUGUGGCUAGAGUCCGGAAGAGGAGAGUGGAAUUCCCGGUGUAGCGGUGAAAUGCGCAGAUAUCGGGAAGAACACCCGUGGCGAAGGCGGCUCUCUGGGACGGUACUGACGCUGAGACGCGAAAGCGUGGGGAGCGAACAGG